GUUGGUUUUAAUUCGAUGUAUACGGCGAAGGUAACCUUACUUGGGUUUAAUGUUAGGUUGCAGUGGGGGGAAACUUCCCUUUCCUUCGGGACUUACUUACAAGGUGCUGCAUGGUUGUUCGUCAGCUCGUGCCGUGAGGUGUCGGGUUAAGUCCCAUAACGAGCGCAACCCCUAUCGUUAGUUGCCAGCAAGUAAAGUUGGGGACUCUAGCGAGACUGCCGGUGUAAACCGUGAGGAAGGUGGGGAUGACGUCAAAUCAGCACGGCCCUUAUAUCCAGGGCUACACACGUGUUACAAUGGUCGGUACAAAGAGCAGCCACUUGGUGACAAGGCGCUAAUCUCAAAAGCCGAUCUCAGUUCGGAUCGAGGUCUGCAACUCGACUUCGUGAAGUUGGAUUCGCUAGUAAUCGCGCAUCAGCCAUGGCGCGGUGAAUACGUUCCCGGGCCUU
rnacentral:rRNA from 1 species